GCGGCCGCGUGCGCAGGCGUACUUCCUGGCUUGGGAACCACAUCGCCCGACCGUGCUCUUUAUUUUUCGGUGGAGCAGCUCUGCUUUCUCAGGUCUCUACUUACUUAUAUAAGAUGGCAUCAAGAAGAAGGACCUGACCACUGGCCCCUGACUACAUGGUCUUUGGAACCCGUGGCAUUGGAAGAUGUCAGAGACAUGGCACAUGGAUGUGAUCUUCAAAAACUGUUACAGCCUCAUCUCAUUGGAUUGGUCUACACAUCAAGGUGCUGGAAGUGUCGCAUGCCCAGAGAUGAUGUGGAAGCUCUAUACCCCUUUCCCUUCUGCCCACCUUGCCCUGUGCAUCUCUUCCUGAAUGGCUUCUCCUGAAUUGUAUCCUUUAUAAUAAACUGGUAAAUAGGAAAGAGAUAAUAUCUUCUACUUAAUCCUGGAUACUAUAUCUGAAGUCAGAGCAUCCACUCCAAAGCAGAGAAUUUCUGAAAAACAAAAUAAUGUCAUCAUAUGAUGUUAGAAUUUUUUUUCAAAUGAUGGUUCCUAAUACUUCACAUUAGAAGAACUCGAAUUUGAUGACCAGUUUGAGAAACACCAGUAUAUCCAGAUUACAAGAAAAAGCGAGUCAAAAGGAUGAUCAUGAAUAUAACAACUUCGAGGAAACAUUUAACCAAAGACCAAAGCUUUUUAAACAACUGAGAGUUUUUAUAAGAAAAAGACCUCAUACAGUAGUCCCCACUUAUUCAUGGGGGAUACAUUUCAAGACCCACAGAGAAGGCCUGAAAUCACUGAUGUACCAAACCCUAACCAGGUUCUUAGGAUGAGCUACUAAAUGACAAAUGGGUGGGUAGUACAUAGAGUGUAGAUACACCAGACAAAGAAAUGAUUCACAGCCCAGGCAGGACAGAGCAGAUCACACAAGAUUUCAUCACAGUACUCAGAAAACCACACCAUUUAAAAGUUAUGAAUUGUUUAUUUCUGGAAUUUUCCAUAUAAUAUUUUUGACCACAGUUUCCCAUGGAUAACUGAAACCAUGGGAAGUGGAACUGUGGAUAAGGCAGGACUACUGUAACUAUGACAUCAAUGGUAGGAACCUGAAGCAUAAUUCUGCUGUAGUGGAUUUUUUCAAAAGAAACUCAUGAAUGAAAAAUAAUUUAUUAGAUAUAAGAAAGGAUGCAUUUGUAUCUCAAACUUUACUUAUUCUGGAAAUAAAUGAAAAGCCAACACCUAUUACAUACCGACAAAAAUGAAAAAAUAAAUAAAUGUAAAGCCAUAGUUCAGUACUGAUGGAAUCUGAGAAAAUUUAUAUGACCGCGAACCCAUAUCUCUGUACUGAAUGUGGGAAAGGCUACACUUGUCUUGCAUCCCUGACCCAGCAUCAGAAAACACAUAUUGGAGAAAAACCUUAUGAAUGUAAAAUAUGUGGUAAGUCCUUUACCCGGAACAGUAAUCUUGUUCAACAUCAAAGAAUACAUACUGGAGAGAAACCUUAUGAAUGUAAUGAAUGUGGGAAAGCUUUUAGUCAGAGCACUAAUCUUAUUCAGCAUCAAAGAGUCCAUACUGGGGAGAAACCUUAUGAGUGUAAUGAAUGUGAAAAAACCUUUAGUCAUAGGUCAUCCCUUAGAAAUCAUGAGAGAAUCCAUACUGGAGAAAAACCCUAUCCUUGUAAUGAAUGUGGGAAAGCUUUCAGCCAUAUCUCUGCCCUUACUCAACAUCAUAGAAUUCAUACUGGAAAGAAACCAUAUGAAUGUACUGAAUGUGGAAAAACCUUCAGCCGCAGCACACACCUAAUUGAACAUCAGGGAAUUCAUUCUGAGGAAAAAUCCUACCAGUGUAAGCAAUGUCGGAAAGUUUUUUGCCACAGUACAUCACUAAUCCGACAUCAGAGAACCCACACAGGAGAGAAACCAUAUGAAUGUAAUGAAUGUGGGAAAGCUUUCAGCCAUACCCCAGCCUUCAUUCAACAUCAAAGAAUUCAUACUGGAGAAAAACCCUAUGAGUGUAAUGCAUGUGGAAAGGCCUUCAAUCGGAGUGCACAUCUUACUGAACACCAGAGAACUCAUACUGGAGAGAAGCCCUAUGUUUGUAAAGAAUGUGGAAAAACCUUCAGUCGAAGUACACACCUUACUGAACAUCUAAAAAUUCAUUCUUGUGUGAAACCCUAUCAAUGUAAUGAAUGUCAGAAACUGUUUUGCUAUAGAACAUCACUAAUUCGACAUCAGAGGACGCAUACAGGAGAGAAACCCUACCAGUGUAAUGAAUGUGGGAAAUCCUUCAGCUUAAGCUCAGCUCUAACUAAACAUAAGCGAAUACAUACAAGGGAGAGACCCUAUCAAUGUACUAAGUGUGGUGAUGUCUUUUGUCAUAGUACAUCCUUAAUUCGACAUCAGAAAACUCAUUUCAGAAAGGAAACCUUAGCAGAGUAA
rnacentral:sRNA from 1 species